rnacentral:tRNA from 1 species
GCUGAGGUCGCAUAGUCUGGUAUUGCGCCGGAUUGCUAAUCCGGUUCCUUCGGGAAGCGUGGGUUCAAAUCCCGCUCUCAGCG